AUCAAAUCAAAUUUUAUUUGUCACAUACACAUGGUUAGCAGAUGUUAAUGCGAGUGUAGCGAAGUGCUUGUGCUUCUAGUUCCGACAAUGCAGUAAUAACCAACAAGUAAUCAAGCUAGCAAUUCCAAAACUACUACCUUAUAGACACAAGUGUAAGGGGAUAAAGAAUAUGUAGAUAUAUGAGUGAGUGAUGGUACAGAGCGGCAUAGGCAAGAUACAGUAGAUGGUAUUGAGUGCAGUAUAUACAUAUGAGAUGAGUAUGUAAACAAAGUGGCAUAGUUAAAGUGGCUAGUGAUACAUGUAUUACAUAAAGAUGCAGUAGAUGAUAUAGAGUACAGUAUAUACAUAUACAUAUGAGAUGGAUAAUGUAGGGUAUGUAAACAUUAUAUUAGGUAGCAUUGUUUAAAGUGGCUAGUGAUAUAUUUUACAUAAUUUCCCAUCAAUUCCCAUUAUUAAAGUGGCUGGAGUUGAGUCAGUGUGUUGGCAGCAGCCACUCAAUGUUAGUGGUGGCUGUUUAACAGUCUGAUGGCAUUGAGAUAGAAGCUGUUUUUCAGUCUCUCCGUCCCGGCUUUGAUGCACCUGUACUGACCUCGCCUUCUGUUUGAUAGCGGGGUGAACAGGCAAUGGCUCGGGUGGUUGUUGUCCUUGAUGAUCUUUAUGGCCUUCCUGUGACAUCGGGUGGUGUAGGUGUCCUGGACGGCAGGUAGUUUGCCUCCGGUGAUGCGUUGUGCAGACCUCACUACCCUCUGGAGAGCCUUACAGUUGUGGGCGGAGCAGUUGCCGUACCAGGCGGUGAUACAGCCCGACAUGAUGCUCUCGAUUAUGCAUCUGUAGAAGUUUAUGGAGAUGCAAUCUCAGGACCAGGCCUUGACACAACAGCUGAUGGACCGCCAGGAAGAAGAGGAGGAGAAGGAGGAGUAGGAAGAAAAGGAAAAGGAGGAUGAGGAGACAGAGGAAGAUAGGAGCUGGGACUUUGAGAGCGAGGCAGGGGGCAGUGGUAGUAGUGUUUACUCCAGCUCAGGGGAAGUGGGUUUUUCCAUAUCCUGCCUGUCCACUAGAAUGACACCAUCUCUACCAAAAAGGACUUUCAGCAGAAGAAGCUCUGUGCCUUAAUAAAACUACAAAAAGUAUUAUCUUAUGGACUGACCACAUAGUCAAUGUUAAUUGGACAAAAUUGUUUUCUUUGUAUCUUUUAGUUGUCACAAGCAUAGGUUAUUUGAGGAUGUUGAAAUGUUGAAGAUGAAAUGGUGCUGGAAUAGUGAAGGCAGCUCCUGUUUUAUUUGCGACUUGCAUUAACUCUCUGUGGUUCUAAAUCAAUAUGUUUAGUGGUUCGAAAAUGUCGGAAACUUGCUUGACCAUGCUGUAGGUUAUGUAACUUGUUUGUUACAUUCAAUAUAUGCUUUGUGGACUGCUUUAUGGACUGACAGAGGUUGCUC
ensembl:lncRNA